GCCAUGACUAACUCCUUUCUUCACAAGUUUCAACUCUCUUCCAUCUCUCUCUCUCUCUCUCUCUCUCCCUCUCUCCCCAAGAAACUAUUUUCCAAUUUCUUGGCCUUUACAAAAUUUCAAUAAUUUGAAUUCCAAACAAAUCAUCAUGCCGAUGAAGAAAUCGAGCCUCUUUGCAGCCUUUGUUGCUGCUGCUACUGCUACUGCUACUACCUUCUCUGCUUCCUCCUUAUCUUCUAGCUGUAACUCCAAUGUUAAGGAAGCUGGCUCAAACAAAGAUCAACAGAGAUCGGCUUCCAUGGAUAAAUUUGCACCAAGGUAUGAUGGGUUGAGGUUUAUUGAAACACUGGUCACUGCUCACAGAUGACGAGAGAGUCAACAUCUGGCCUUUAUAGCUCCAUGGAUGAUACUGAUUAGUUGUACUAAUUUUAGCCAGCACCCAUCUUUUCUCUUAAAUUAAGAGAGAAAAGGAUGGCAUAAAGAAGGUUUGACCUUUUUUCUUUAGUUUCUUUGAGUGGAUCUGAUUAGGAGAACAUCUGUAAUGCUUGAGUUGAAAUUUUGUAAUGGUGUUUUCACUCAAAAAUUGCUUGUCCUGAUCAUAAUUCAGGGCUGAUUUUCUUUGUGCCAUCGAUUUUUCUGGGAUUAGAAAAUGAUUGCUUGCUAAA